AUCGGAGAGACAGCACAUACAUUAGGUCUAGCCAAAUCAACUAUUUUGGUAUGCUCUUUUUAAAAAAAACAAAAACAAAACAGAAAGAACGCACUGGUGAGCUCAGGAAUACCAAAAGUUCCAGAAGACCCCAGAAAACAACGGUGCUGGAUGACAAGAACACUCUCCAGGAGGGAGGCGGUGUUAAAGUAUCGGCGUGAAAGUCAACAAUCCAGAGAAGUCUUCGCCGGGGUAAAUACAGACGGUUUACUACGAGAUGAACACCGCUGCUAAGCCUCAAAAACAGGAAGACCAGAUUAGAGUUGGCCACAAUCACCUGUACAGUUCUGAACAACAUCCUACGGGCGGAUGAGACGAAGAUCAGCUUUUAGCAGAAUAAUAAUAGGAAGAGAAGAGUAGGGUGAAGGGAAGGGACCGGUCGUGAGCUGACGCGUACUAUCUCAUCUUACGGCGUGGGCGUGUUAAUGAAACUGUUAAUGAAAUUCCCUUGUAUUUAUGGAUGAAGUCUAUAGGGCCAAAUUAUCAGCUCAGAUUCAGCCAAAUUCUCCGAAAUAAAAUUGCGCAGAUGGACAAUGACUCAAUGCACCGCUGUGAUUGGUACACCCUUCACCCGAUGUGCAUGAAUAUACCCUUCAGUUAAAGCUGAAAGUCAGCACUUUGAGUGCUCUAAUAUACUGUGGCAGACAGAUAAAAUAAUAACUUUCUCUCUGUCCAAACAGUUAUUCUGUAAUCUGCAAUAUUAGAGGAGAGACGAUAAAACUGUUCUGGGAUCAGCCCGUUCCUCACUCUGUAAUCUGUAACAUUAGAGGAGAAACUAUAAAACUGUUCUGGGAUCAGCUCGUUCCUAACUCUGUAGUCUGUAACAUUAGAGGAGAAACUAUAAAACUGUUCUGGGAUCAGCCCGUUCCUCACUCUGUAAUCUGUAAUAUUAUAGGAGAAACUAUAAAACUGUUCUGGGAUCAGCCUGUUCCUCACACUGUAACAUUAGAGGAGAAAUUAUUAAACUGUUCUGGGAUCAGCCUGUUCCUCACUCUGUAAUCUGUAAUAUUAGAGGAGAAACUAUAAAACUGUUCUGGAAUCAGCCCGUUCCUCACACUGUAAUCUGUAAUAUUAGAGGAGAAACUAUAAAACUGUUCGGGGAUCAGCUCGUUCCUCGCUCUGUAGUCUGUAACAUUAGAGGAAAAACUAUAAAACUGUUCUGGGAUCAGCUCAUUCCUCACUGUAAUCUGUAACAUUAGAGAAGAAACUAUAAAACUGCUCUGGGAUCAGAUCGUUCCUCACUCCAUAACAUUAGAGGAGAAACUAUAAAACUGUUCUGGGAUCAGCCCGUUCCUCGCUCUGUAGUCUGUAACAUUAGAGGAGAAUCUAUAAUAUUGUUCUGGGAUCAGUUCGUUCGUCACACCGUAAUAUGUAAUAUUAGAGGAGAAACUAUAAAACUGUUCUGGGAUCAGCCCGUUCCUCACUCUGUAACAUUAGAGGAGAAACUAUAUAAUUGUUCUGGGAUGAGCGAGACGGACUCUGUACCAAGCCGGCGUGGUUCUCCCUCAGCUCUGCAUUCCGUUAUAAAUGCGGUGUCGUGCGUCGUUGCUGCUCUGACUGACGCAGGCAAGCAUGUUCAUUUGUAGCUCGCUGUCUCACUCCCACCUCAGGCUUCUCCCUGUGGGGUUCGGAGCCGGGAGACACACACUGAUCUUCCAGCGAAGGACAAACAAGUCCCAUGUCUGACUGUCAGCUCGGUGUCACUUCCCAUCAAUCCCAGAGUCUCCGUGAAACAACACGUCGCUCUCCAUCGGGGCACGGCUUUCCAAACAUGCAGGAAAUAUUGACUAUUUAUACUGAGUGUGCGGUGUGGCAUCUGCCCGAGUGCGAGCGUCUCUAAAGGCUAGCCGUAACAUCGUAGCACUGUUCACGCUAGCUGUGGGCAGUAUCAAAUUGGAUCACAUGACAUCAGUACAACGCUUUACGUUAGCUAAUGUUAGCUAGCUUGCUAGUGACAUGUUUCAUUCUUCUUAUACCACAGCAAUUUCCUGCCAAUAACAAUCUUGUGAAAGAAGAAAGAACGUUUCAUAGUUUUAACGUUGUGCAAUGUCCUAUAAAACCG
ensembl:lncRNA